rnacentral:rRNA from 1 species
GACGAACGCUGGCGGCGUGCUUAACACAUGCAAGUCGAGCGGAAAGGCCCUUUCGGGGGUCCUCGAGCGGCGAACGGGUGAGUAACACGUGCGUAAGCUGCCCUUCACUUGGGGAUAACCUCCGGAAACGGUGGCUAAUACCCGAUACGACCAUUCCUCGCAUGAGGGGGUGGUGGAAAGUUUUUUGGUGGGGGAUGGGCGCGCGGCCUAUCCGCUUGUUGGUGGGGUAAUGGCAUACCAAGGCUUCGACGGGAAGCCGGCCUGAGAGGGUGACCGGCCACACUGGGACUGAGACACGGCCCAGACUCCUACGGGAGGCAGCAGUGGGGAAUAUUGGACAAGGGGCGGAGGCCUGAUCCAGCAACGCCGCGUGGGGGAUGACGGCCUUCGGGUUGGAAACCUCUUUCACCUGUGACGAAGCGAAAGUGACGGUAGCAGGAGAAGAAGCACCGGCCAACUACGUG